rnacentral:rRNA from 1 species
AUGGCCGUUCUUGUGGCGAGGCAGGGGCGCGAGCUGCAGCGGUACAGCGCGAGCACCGGCGGGCGCAUCGUGGUGGGGUGCAUCCCGUACCGGAUGCGCGACGGCGGCGACAGCGACGGCGAGGGCGAGCUGGAGGUGCUGGUCAUCAGCUCGCAGAAGGGGCACGGCAUGAUGUUUCCCAAGGGCGGGUGGGAGCUGGACGAGUCCAUGGACGACGCGGCACGGCGCGAGGCCCUCGAGGAGGCCGGCGUCCGCGGGGAGAUGGGCAAGGUGCUCGGCUGCUGGCACUACCAGAGCCGCCGCUACCAGACCACCUACGAGGGCAUCAUGUACCCGCUCCGCGUCACCGACGAGCUCCAGCAGUGGCCCGAGAUGGCGUCCCGCAAGCGCACCUGGGCAACUGUGCAGCAGGUCAUGGAGGGAUGCCAGCACUGCUGGAUGCGGGAGGCGCUCGAGGAGCUCGUCGCCCGGCACGCCAAGCCGCAGUCCGCCCUGUGA